rnacentral:SRP_RNA from 1 species
UCGUGCUAGACGGGGGGUUGGCGGUCCCCUGUAACCCGAAACCCGCCCACGCGGGGUCGAAAGGGAUACCGAGUGCGGCACGAUGCGGGUCAAGUUUGAAAUCCAAAACGGCGAUGAAAAUCGGGUCCGGUGAGGACCAUCACCGUGAACCCCGCCAGGACCGGAAGGUAGCAACGGUAAACGGAGCGACGGUUCGUCACCGGGGCGCCUGGUUGGAGUCGUUUUGGUUCAAACCCCCUCAUCGUCUGUGCCAGGAUCCUGGCACGA